rnacentral:rRNA from 1 species
GUAGUCCAUGCCGUAACGUUGGCCACUAGGUGUGGGGGGACAUUCCACGUUUUCCGCGCCGUAGCUAACGCAUUAAGUGCCCCCGCCUGGGGAGUACGGCCGCAAGGCUAAAACUCAAAGGAAUUGACGGGGGCCCGCACAAGCGGCGGAGCAUGCGGAUUAAUUCGAUGCAACGCGAAGAACCUUACCAAGGCUUGACAUGAACCGGAAACGCCUGGAAACAGGUGCCCCGCUUGCGGUCGGUUUACAGGUGGUGCAUGGUUGUCGUCAGCUCGUGUCGUGAGAUGUUGGGUUAAGUCCCGCAACGAGCGCAACCCUCGUUCUAUGUUGCCAGCACGUAAUGGUGGGAACUCAUGGGAUACUGCCGGGGUCAACUCGGAGGAAGGUGGGGACGACGUCAAAUCAUCAUGCCCCUUAUGUCUUGGGCUUCACGCAUGCUACAAUGGCCAGUACAAAGGGCUGCAAUACCGUAAGGUGGAGCGAAUCCCAAAAAGCUGGUCCCAGUUCGGAUUGAGGUCUGCAACUCGACCUCAUGAAGUCGGAGUUGCUAGUAAUCGCAGAUCAGCAACGCUGCGGUGAAUA